rnacentral:misc_RNA from 1 species
CUGAGUUUACGCUCUAUAACCCUUUGUGAACUUUAUAAACCUGUUGCUUCGGCGGCGCGCCUCCGGGCGUGCCCGCCGGUGUUCAGAAUCUCUUGUUUCUCUAUGAGUUACCUCUGAGUGUUCCAAAGCGAACUGUUA